rnacentral:rRNA from 1 species
AGAGUUUGAUCAUGGCUCAGGACGAACGCUGGCGGCGUGCUUAACACAUGCAAGUCGAACGAGGCCCGUCCUUCGGGACGGUGUCCUAGUGGCGAACGGGUGAGUAACACGUGGGCAACCUGCCCCUGGCUCUGGGAUAACUCCAAGAGAUUGGGGCUAAUACCGGAUAUGACCGCUGACCGCAUGGUCUGGUGGUGGAAAGAUUUAUCGGCUGGGGAUGGGCCCGCGGCCUAUCAGCUUGUUGGUGGGGUAGUGGCCUACCAAGGCGACGACGGGUAGCCGGCCUGAGAGGGUGACCGGCCACACUGGGACUGAGACACGGCCCAGACUCCUACGGGAGGCAGCAGUGGGGAAUAUUGCGCAAUGGGCGAAAGCCUGACGCAGCGACGCCGCGUGGGGGAUGACGGCCUUCGGGUUGUAAACCUCUUUCAGCAGGGACGAAGCGAAAGUGACGGUACCUGCAGAAGAAGCACCGGCCAACUACGUGCCAGCAGCCGCGGUAAUACGUAGGGUGCAAGCGUUGUCCGGAAUUAUUGGGCGUAAAGAGCUCGUAGGCGGUUUGUUGCGUCGGCUGUGAAAUCCCGAGGCUCAACCUCGGGUCUGCAGUCGAUACGAGCAAACUAGAGUGUUGCAGGGGAGACUGGAAUUCCUGGUGUAGCGGUGAAAUGCGCAGAUAUCAGGAGGAACACCGGUGGCGAAGGCGGGUCUCUGGGCAACAACUGACGCUGAGGAGCGAAAGCGUGGGGAGCGAACAGGAUUAGAUACCCUAGUAGUCC